rnacentral:lncRNA from 1 species
UGCUCCAGACCCAGACAACUCUUGGUUGGAUGGUGCGGAGCCCGGCCGCAGCCCGGGGCGCGGAUGCCUGCCCGCCGCCCGCCCUCUCUGCAGGAGGGGCCGCGCGGCUCCCAGCGAGACCCCAUCCAGGCGCCGCCCCCGGCCAGGCUGGGGAGCGCAGAGGAGCAUUAUUAUUACUGACUGUGACAGCAGCUCCCAUGAAGCCUGUGCCUUAGCUGCAGACCCUGAGCAGGGCAGAGAGACAAGACUAUAUUUGUAUCAGGUUUGUCAUCUGGGUUGUGACUCUCGACUUGCCCAGGAUUCUUUCUGGUCCUGACCGAGU